UACGGGGGGAGCAAGCGUUGUUCGGAUUUACUGGGCGUAAAGGGCGCGUAGGCGGCCAGCACAAGUCAGUUGUGAAAUCUCCGAGCUUAACUCGGAACGGUCAACUGAUACUGUGCGGCUAGAGUGCAGAAGGGGCAACUGGAAUUCUUGGUGUAGCGGUGAAAUGCGUAGAUAUCAAGAGGAACACCUGCGGCGAAGGCGGGUUGCUGGGCUGACACUGACGCUGAGGCGCGAAAGCUAGGGGAGCAAACGGG
rnacentral:rRNA from 1 species